GAUGAACGCUAGCGGCAGGCUUAAUACAUGCAAGUCGAGGGGCAGCAUGAUUGUAGCAAUACAAUUGAUGGCGACCGGCAAACGGGUGCGGAACACGUACACAACCUCCCAAUAAGUGGGGAAUAGCCCAGAGACAUUUGGAUUAAUACCCCGUAACAUAACGAUGUGGCAUCACAUUGUUAUUAUAGAUUUUUCGCUUAUUGAUGGGUGUGCGGCUGAUUAGAUAGUUGGCGGGGUAACGGCCCACCAAGUCUACGAUCAGUAGCUGAUGUGAGAGCAUGAUCAGCCACACGGGCACUGAGACACGGGCCCGACUCCUACGGGAGGCAGCAGUAAGGAAUAUUGGACAAUGGACGCAGGUCUGAUUCAGCCAUGCCGCGUGAAGGAUUAAGGUCCUCUGGAUUGUAGACUUCUUUUAUAAGGGACGAAAAAAGGCUUUUCUAAGUCGUCUGACGGUACCUUAUGAAUAAGCACCGGCUAACUCCGUGCCAGCAGCCGCCGUAAUAC
rnacentral:rRNA from 1 species